rnacentral:rRNA from 1 species
UACGGAGGGUGCAAGCGUUGUCCGGAAUUAUUGGGCGUAAAGCGCACGUAGGCGGUUCUUUAAGUCUCAUGGUGAAAGGCUGGGGCUCAACCCCAAGUAAGCCGGGGAUACUGGAGGACUGGAGACAGGCAGAGGCCAGCGGAAUUCCGGGUGUAGCGGUGGAAUGCGUAGAGAUCCGGAAGAACACCGGAGGCGAAGGCGGCUGGCUGGGCCUGAUCUGACGCUGAGGUGCGAAAGCGUGGGGAGCGAACAGG